AACUCCUGAAAGGAAGUUUUGCGUUCAGAAAUUGGACAUGUUCUCUGUUAUUGCAUUCCACGGCUGAAUGUUAUUGUUGAUAUUUAUGUUACAGAUAUUGCCGUACGAGCCCAUGGACGUGAAUAGCCAGUUGCAGAGAGGCCAUCGGCAGCUACCUAAAAAAUGCCCCGGCCAGGAAAGGUGUCAAGAAACAUAAUAUAUCAGUACAGCAGCAUUGCCAGACACAUUGCUGCAACAUCCUCGUCAUUACCAAGACGAAAACCCUUGGCCAAGACAUCUGUGGAAGACCAUCUGGCAAUCAAGAAAAUUCUGGCCUGAAUUUAACAUGCACUAUUGGAUUAUACUAGUGACUAUUAUGAGCACGACAGAGGCUUUGGACUCCAAAAUUAACAUAUUCAGUGCUUUGAUGAAUAUGUCAACGAAUGACUUGCUUGCAGGAAACAAUGUCUCACUCAUAAUACAGCCACUGAAUCACCUGCGGGAAAACAUGAUAAUGUAGGACCACGUAUUAAGAAAACUAGAUCAUGGUUUAAGUUAUUGGCUAUUAACAAGUGCUGCAGAAUAUAGUCAUCUAGUGCAUCCUGCAGAGCCACUACUGAUUGGCCCAUCCAGCCUCCAACCUCCCUCUGAAUCAGAGCUUCCUGUUUAACCCUUUGUUUCUAUUUAGGCAUGAGGAAGAUGGCAGCGUGGUGAUAUUUUCCAAACGGUGGAUAAGCCUAUGCCUUGUAACUGUCCUUAAAUGGGGUGUAGCAAUGGUCGUGUUCUCUCGCCCCUGGUGGGGCAGACGAUGUGCUGGUGGAGGUUUGACACUGCACGUUUGAGGUUGGCUCUGUUCAAGUCCCCCGCUAUAAUAAGCGCAGCGUCCUGGGGAUUUGUCUGAAUGGUGAGAGCAUCAUAAAGUUCACAUAAAGCAGUGUUCGCCUGAGGUAGAAUAUAAACGGUGCUGACUAUGACAGAGGUAAAUUCCCAUGGAAGGUAGAAAGGGCAAUAUUUCAGUGGUGGCUUGGCAGUUAAGGCUCGGGGUUACUGAUCAGAAGGUCGGGGGUUCAAGCCCCUGCACUGCCAAGCUGUCACUGUUGGGCACUUGAGCGAGGCCCUUAACCCUCUCUGCUCCAAGGGCGCUGUAUCAUGGCUGACCCUACGCUCUGACCCCAGCUUCCUGACAUGCUGGGGUAUGCGAAGAAAAGAAUUUCAUUGUGCUAUAAUGUAUACGUGAUUAAUAAAGACUCAUUAUCAUUAUUUUAUGGUCAAGAGCUGGAACUUGAUCCUAGGUCUGAGUUUGCCCCCAGCAUGUUCUCCAGAGAUUGGACGUUGGCUAGCACGGGACUGCAGUGUGGCCAGGAUGGGAUCGGGUAGUAAAAGUGACGACUUGUAAGUGUUUUGUACACCAAUAGAAAUAAAAGAGUACUUCUGUUGUAGCUAAUAAUAGCCAUGGUGAAAAUAAAAAGAAGUAGAAAGUAAGAAAGGUGCAGAAAUGAAACAAGUAUACAAAAAGUGAUCGAACGGUCAUGACGGAAGCGGACCCCACUGGCACCAUCUCGGAUGUAUCCUGGUUUUUGUACUGUGGUUCUCCUCUGACGUCCUGUUUGCUGAUUGCCUGACCCUUUUUGCCUGCCUUCAUUCUGCCUCUCAUAUUGGAAUUGUUUGCUGGACAUUGCAUCAAUCUCUGCCUCUCAAUCAUAAAAUAUGGACAGUAAACUAAUUUAAUUAUUUUGAAACCCAUAUAGGACUGACUUUCAUUCCCUGCCUUCAAAUUAAAAUGUUUUUAAUGGAAAUUGUAUUGGGUUUGAUGGAAGCAAUUAAAUCAAUGUAUGUAAUUAUAAAUGGUAUUUGUUGUGCAAUUUCUAUUUGAUCCAUCACCUCAAAAUGUACACAUAAGACAACUGUGCUUCAAGUAACAUCAAGCGACAAUCAGCAACACAUUUAUAGCAUUUAUUCAUCAGCAUUGUCACCCCCCCCCCCAACAUACUAGACAAAUACAUAACCAUUAAGCUAAAUAACUAUGUUAUAGUCUUACCAAAAAAUUCACAUGCAGAACGAAAAACUUAUACAUAAAUACUAUAAGUCGUAAAUGUUUAAUUAAUUAUAGAAAUGAAUAAAAUAAUGUAACCAAAGAAAAAAAAAGCCUUAUUCUUUAAAAAGUACAAGAGUCUCAGCAUUAUCUUCGUCAGUGUUGCUGCUGUGGAGCCCGUCUCUGGUCCUGCUGCUGAAAAUGAAAAGUCUAUUUUAGUUUUACAGAAUUUAACUACAUAUUAGGGUAGAUACUACCCUUAGGUUUUUGUAAUUAGGAGCACAAGUGGCCCUUAAAAAAAACUGUAAGUGCAAAAUCUAAAUUUUAGGAGCACAGUUGAAGUUCAGGGUUUUUAACAAAAUAAAGCGGAUAGUUCCGGUCCUUGAUUCUGAUGAGCCGUGUUCAAAGCUGUUUUACAAGCAUACACCUGUGGAUUAAUUUCCAGGUGAGAUCUGGACAAUACCUCAUGGUUGUCCAAGCAUGCACAUACCUCCUGUGUGUCUCUUUUCAGAGCUCAUUCUAAAAAAAUAAUUGUAGUGUUUCCAAUUAAAACAGACAAAAAUAUUUAACUGAUAAGACCGGCAUGCAUCUUUUCAUUUUAACAUAACAGACUCUGACACAAUCUGGCCUUUCAAGUAGGUGAAAAUAAUGAAGCUUAAUUACUACAAUAAUUAUAUCUGAUGAACAGUAAUAGUUAAUAAAAAGGG